rnacentral:rRNA from 1 species
UACGGGGGGGGCAAGCGUUGUUCGGAAUUACUGGGCGUAAAGGGCUCGUAGGCGGCCAACUAAGUCAUACGUGAAAUCCCUCAGCUUAACUGGGGAACUGCGUGUGAUACUGGAUGGCUUGGAUUUGGGAGAGGGAUGCGGAAUUCCAGGUGUAGCGGUGAAAUGCGUAGAUAUAUGGAGGAACACCGGUGGCGAAGGCGGCAUCCUGGACCAAUAUUGACGCUGAGGAGCGAAAGCCAGGGGAGCAAACGGG